rnacentral:tRNA from 1 species
GAGGCGUUGCGAUAAUUGGUAGUCGGCCGGUCUUGAAAACCGGUGAGCGUAAGCUUUCAGAGUUCGAGUCUCUGACGCCUCGCCA